UACGAACUGUGCGAACGUUAUUCGGAAUCACUGGGCUUACAGGGUGCGUAGGCGGCUUGUUAAGUAGGGUGUGAAAGCCACCGGCUCAACCGGGGAAUGGCGCCCUAAACUGGCGAGCUAGAGUGAGAUAGGGGUGUGUGGAACUUCCGGUGGAGCGGUGAAAUGUGUUGAUAUCGGAAGGAACGCCGGUGGCGAAAGCGACACACUGGAUCUUGUCUGACGCUGAGGCACGAAAGCCAGGGGAGCGAACGGG
rnacentral:rRNA from 1 species